rnacentral:tRNA from 1 species
GGAGAGGGUAGAGCUCAGUGGUAGAGUGCGUGCUUAGCAUGCACGAGGUCCUGGGUUCAAUCCCCAGUACCUCCA